rnacentral:rRNA from 1 species
UACGUAAGGACCGAGCGUUGUCCGGAAUUAUUGGGCGUAAAGGGUACGUAGGCGGUUAGAAAAGUUAGAAGUGAAAGGCUAUAGCUCAACUAUAGUAAGCUUUUAAAACUGUUUAACUUGAGAGAUGGAAGGGAGAGUGGAAUUCCUAGUGUAGCGGUGAAAUGCGCAGAUAUUAGGAGGAAUACCGGUGGCGAAGGCGACUUUCUGGCCAUUAUCUGACGCUGAGGUACGAAAGCGUGGGUAGCAAACAGGAUUAGAAACCCGGGUAGUCC